CCUACGGGGUGCAGCAGUGGGGAAUAUUGGGCAAUGGGCGCAAGCCUGACCCAGCAACGCCGCGUGAAGGAAGAAGGCUUUCGGGUUGUAAACUUCUUUUGUCAGGGAAGAGUAGAAGACGGUACCUGACGAAUAAGCCACGGCUAACUACGCGCCAGCAGCCGCGGUAAUACGUAGGGGGAAAGCGUUGUCCGGAUUUACUGGGUGUAAAGGGCGUGUAGCCGGGUUGACAAGUCAGAUGUGAAAUCCUGCGGCUUAACCGCAGAACUGCAUUUGAAACUGUUGAUCUUGAGUACUGGAGAGGCAGACGGAAUUCCUAGUGUAGCGGUGAAAUGCGUAGAUAUUAGGAGGAACACCAGUGGCGAAGGCGGUCUGCUGGACAGCAACUGACGGUGAGGCGCGAAAGCGUGGGGAGCAAACAGGAUUAGAUACCCCAGUAGUC
rnacentral:rRNA from 1 species